rnacentral:ncRNA from 1 species
UCAAUAACUUGGAAAGGGAAUAGUAGGCAGCUAACCCAUCAGAGAGCGGAAUUGUUACGCUGAGAGGUUCCGUAGGAUGUAACUUGCCGAAGUCGCCCUGGAGUUGCAGUAUUAAAGGCAAGUCUAAGAGUUCAACAGUACCAUUUCGUAUGGUUCCUUGAAUGCUUGGUUUGCGGAUAGAUGCUGCCGGUAUCAGCCGUUAUCUGUUGAAGUGCCGCAUAGUGGGCAGUAAUUUGUCAGCCCAAGCCUUUUUCAUAUGCGGAAUAAAGGUGGUACCACGGAAGCAGAUCCUUUCGUCCUUUGC